UACGUAGGGCGCAAACGUUAUCCGGAUUUAUUGGGCGUAAAGAGCUCGUAGGUGGUUUUGUAAGUUGGAUAUUAAAUACUCCGGCCCAACCGGAGAAAAGUAUCCAAAACUGCAUAACUUGAGGUAUGUAGGGGAGGAUGGAACUUACAGUGUAGCAGUGAAAUGCGUAGAUAUUGUAAGGAACGCCAAUGGUGAAGACAGUCCUCUGGACAUUACCUGACACUGAGGAGCGAAAGCGUGGGGAGCGGAC
rnacentral:rRNA from 1 species